ensembl:snRNA U6 U6 spliceosomal RNA
GUGCUCACUUCAGAAGCACAUACACUGACAUUGGAAGGUUCCAGAGAAGAUUAGGAUGGCCCCCGCACAAAGAUGACAUGAACAUCUGUGAAAUAUUUCAUCUGAGG